rnacentral:rRNA from 1 species
CCUACGGGUGGCAGCAGUGAGGAAUAUUGGUCAAUGGCCGGAAGCCUGAACCAGCCAAGCCGCGUGAAUGACGAAGGUUCUAGGCAUUGUAAACUUCUUUUAUAAAGGAAUAAAAUGAGGCUCGUUUGCCUUUUUGCAUGUACUUUAUGAAUAAGGAUCGGCUAACUCCGUGCCAGCAGCCGCGGUAAUACGGCGGAUCCGAGCGUUAUCCGGAUUUAUUGGGUUUAAAGGGAGCGUAGAUGGGUUGUUAAGUCAGUUGUGAAAGUUUGCGGCUCAACCGUAAAAUUGCAAUUGAUACUGGCAGUCUAGAGUACAGGUGAGGUAGGCGGAAUUCGUGGUGUAGCGGUGAAAUGCUUAGAUAUCACGAAGAACUCCGAUUGCGAAGGCAGCUUACUAAACUGCAACUGACAUUGAUGCUCGAAAGUGUGGGUAUCAAACAGGAUUAGAUACCCGAGUAGUC